rnacentral:rRNA from 1 species
GACGAACGCUGGCGGCGUGCUUAACACAUGCAAGUCGAACGGAAAGGCCCUGCUUUUGUGGGGUGCUCGAUUGGCGAACGGGUGAGUAACACGUGAGUAACCUGCCCUUGACUUUGGGAUAACUUCAGGAAACUGGGGCUAAUACCGGAUAGGAUCUCCUGCUGCAUGGUGGUGGUUGGAAAGUUUCGGCGGUGGGGGAUUGAUUCGCGGCUUAUCAGCUUGUUUGUGAGGUAGUUGCGUACGAAGGGUUUGACGGGUAGGCGGCCUGAGAGGGGGACCGGGGACAUUGGGCCUGAGGUACGGACCAGUAUCCAAUGGGCCGCAGCAGUGGGAAAUAUUGCGGAAUGGGCGGAAGUCAGAUGCAGAGACGCCGGGUGCGGAAUAACGGCUUUCGGGUUGAAAACAGCUUUCGACUGAGACGAGGAGUGAGUGACGGUACUGGGUAAAAAAGCCACGGCUAACUACGUG